UUACUCCUACGGGAGGCAGCAGGGAAUCUUGGGCAAUGGGCGAAAGCCUGACCCAGCGACGCCGCGUGGAGGAAGAAGUCCUUCGGGACGUAAACUCCUGGACUGGGGGACGAGGAAGGACGGUACCCCAGUAGAAAGGGACGGCUAACUACGUGCCAGCAGCCGCGGUAAUAA
rnacentral:rRNA from 1 species